AUUUCUUCAUCUGCAUUAUUGUGGGAAUUUCCAAAAGUGACCUCAGAUCCUUUUGUCCAAUGAAGUAAAGUGUGAACUUAAACAUGCAACUACCAGUGAGUGCAGGUUGUAUGUCUGUAACUUUUUUCUUGUUAUUUCUUUUAACUCUUCUAUGACAUAGGGACACGGAUUAGUGAGGGAAAGCGGCAUAGCAGUGCCUUAUGAAAAUCCAGUUCUUCUUCUAGUCUAUGCGAAUAGCCGAAAAGCCAGCAGGGACCCAGAGGCCGCGGAGCCGGACCGCAGAGUGGAGGCCAGGCCAGUGGGCAGGAGGAGGUGGGAACACCGAAGGCCGCCAGGACUGAAUCCGCUUCUCUAAUGAAAGGGCCCUUCUUUCCAGGGGAUUAUAAGAAUAUUCAUGACCCUUGAGAUCAGCAGGAUUGGAUUACAGAGGACAUCGGGCAAUCUUAAUCAGCAGUCUGGAGAUUCAUGACCCCUCUCCACAGCCUGACUCCAGGGUACACGGGUAAGAUAAUAGUGACAACAGCCAUGAAACGAAGGGGGCUGGUUUUCCAUGACCCCACACAUUCUG
rnacentral:lncRNA from 1 species